GCACCGCUUGGGGUGGCGAUUUGUGGGAUCACAGCUCUGUAGAAGGUCAUGUAUACCCCAUAACACCCAGCCUGGAGCCUGCAGACCCCCAGGAGGAGAUUUGUGCCCGGCGUGGAGCUGUUGGACGGGGCAGGCAGGGGCGAGCGGCCCCCAGCCCCCUGCCAGCUGGCCUGCCGCCCGCUUUCCCCUUCUCUCUCGUGUUCCUUGGCUUGGCAGGCGGCUGCGUUGGUGCUGCCAGAGCUGACGGGGCUGGGGCUGUGCUCUGGGCCCUCUUUGUCUUGCCUCGUGGCUGCGCAUCAGGUUGCUGGGCCGCUGCUGUCCUCAGCAUCCUCUGCUGGCAGCCGGCAGCAGCGGGCCCCGGGCCAGGGCAGCCCUCGGGCGGCUUCUCCCAGCCCUUUCCAGGGAGUUUGUGGCUUUCGGUGGAGCUGGUGCAGGUCUGGGGCAGUUCUGGCCUGGAAAACCCUUCUGCAGGGCCUUCCAGUUUGUCUCCUGGUGCUGCCUACAACCCAACUGGUGCUGCCUGCGGCCUUACUGGUGCUGCCUGGGGCCCUACGGGUGCUGCCUAUGGCCCUACUGAUGUUACCUGCAGCCUUACUGGUGCUGCCACCUUACAGGUGCUACCUGUGGCCUUACUGGUGCUGGCUGCAGCCCUACUGGUGCUGCCUGGGGCUUUACUGGUGCUACCUGCGGCCCUGCUGGUGCUACCUGCGGCCUUACUGGUGCUGUCUGGGGCUUUACUGGUGCUACCUGUGGCCUUACUGGUGCUGCCUGCAGCCUUACUGGUGCUGCCUGCAUCUUCACUGGUGCUGCCUAUGGCCCUACUGAUGUUACCUGCGGCCUUACUGGUGCUGCCUGGGGCCUUACUGGUGCUACCCGUGGCCCUACUGGUGCUGCCUUACUGAUGCUGCAGGGUCUGUUAUCAAAGCAGGCAGCCUGCAGCUCUCUGCCCCAGCCUUGUGGGCAGGGAGCGGUGUCCCCAAAGCCCCCCAGUGACAUCCCACCAGCUCCCAGCACUCUCCCAGCAUCACCUCUCCUUUUCCCUCCGGUCCCGUGCUCGGAAACCCGUCCCUCCUACGCCGCCACAAGCCACGG
rnacentral:lncRNA from 1 species